rnacentral:rRNA from 1 species
UACGAAGGGAGCUAGCGUUGUUCGGAAUCACUGGGCGUAAAGCGCACGUAGGCGGAUGUGUCAGUCAGGGGUGAAAUCCCGGAGCUCAACUUCGGAACUGCCUUUGAUACAGCACAUCUGGAGUCCGGAAGAGGUGGGUGGAAUUCCUGGUGUAGCGGUGAAAUGCGCAGAUAUCAGGAAGAACACCCGUGGCGAAGGCGGCUCUCUGGGACGGUACUGACGCUGAGACGCGAAAGCGUGGGGAGCAAACGGG